AGAAUGAAUGCAAGUUCAAAAUAAAAAAAGAAUAUGAUCUGUCAUGAACUAAAAAUUUUGUCCUUGAAAGUGGAAGAACCUGACUGACCUGAGUUUAACGAAGGUUAACUAGUCAAGAUGUGGAAAUAAAAUAAUAUUGUCCAAAAUUAUAGCAGAAAAAUAAUGUUUUAAGGAUUGGAUAACUAAACAGAAGAAAGUCGUUGGAGGCGGAGUCAAAAAAGAGGCCAACAACUUAAAUGCUUGGCAAUUGGACAAAAUUCAUUGUUCUCUACAUAUAAUCAGCUUUGGCUGAUAUAGGAUGCCAUCUGUCGGUCAUGAAUCUAAAUCCAAACAUCAUACAGA